rnacentral:rRNA from 1 species
UACGUAGGGGGCGAGCGUUGUCCGGAUUUAUUGGGCGUAAAGAGCUCGUAGGCGGCUAGUCGCGUCGGCUGUGAAAACCUGGGGCUCAACCCCGGGCCUGCAGCCGAUACGGGCAGACUAGAGUUCGGCAGGGGAGACUGGAAUUCCUGGUGUAGCGGUGAAAUGCGCAGAUAUCAGGAGGAACACCGGUGGCGAAGGCGGGUCUCUGGGCCGAUACUGACGCUGAGGAGCGAAAGCGUGGGGAGCGAACAGG